rnacentral:rRNA from 1 species
AUUGAACGCUGGCGGCAUGCUUUACACAUGCAAGUCGAACGGUAACAGGCCUUCGGGUGCUGACGAGUGGCGAACGGGUGAGUAAUGCAUCGGAACGUACCCAGAGGUGGGGGAUAACGCAGCGAAAGCUGUGCUAAUACCGCAUGUGAUCUGAGGAUGAAAGCGGGGGACCGAGCAGCAAUGUUUGGCCUCGCGCCUUUGGAGCGGCCGAUGUCGGAUUAGCUAGUUGGUGGGGUAAAGGCCUACCAAGGCGACGAUCCGUAGCCGGUCUGAGAGGACGACCAGCCACACUGGGACUGAGACACGGCCCAGACUCCUACGGGAGGCACCAGUGGGGAAUCUGUGACAAUGGGCGCAAGCCUGAUCCAGCAAUGCCGCGUGUGGGAAGAAGGCGUUCGGGUUGUAAACCACUUGUGGCAGGAGCGAAACGGUGUCCGCUAAUACCGGGCGCUAAUGACGGUACCUGCAGAAUAAGCACCGGCUAACUACGUG